rnacentral:tRNA from 1 species
GCCUUCGUGGUGCAGUGGUCAGCACGCUCGGCGCGUAUUCGAGAGGUCCGGGGUUCAAGUCCCCGGGAGGGCA